ensembl:lncRNA
GUAAUGGAUACCCUGGGUCAGGAGUUGGAUCACAGGCCAGUAAGAUGGCACCUAACUAAGGCUUAGAAUAAGGGAACUCCAAUUGGUGAAUCAGCCCCAACUUAAGCGUACAUUUUGAUAAAUGUAAUUGAUACUUGUUUAAGACUCCAGCCAUGAGAAAAAAAAGGAAAAAAAAGAAAAAAAAAAAGAGGAAACAGAAUUGAAGUUUGCGUUCAUUUCUGCCCUUUAAAAAAAUAAAGGAAGCACUGGAAAAACCUAAGCUCGAUGUGUUCAACCCUCACUCCCAUUUAAGCUGUUAACAAAACUCUACCGACAGUAGAGCAGAAGGGUUUCACUCAGUGCAUCCAAUUCUCUUUUAGCAUAACUCUACUGAAGAAAAGUGAGUUAUACUGGGUAGUUCAUAAGCCAUUUGGAAAACAGCACGAAUGCUGAGGUGACAAAGCCAGCUGAUGAUACUCGUUUGCCCAAGAUUCUUGGUGGUGAAUUGUGAGCGGAGCACCUGCACUCCUGUAGGAAUCCUGCACAGAAUCCCUGCACUCAUGUCCUACUGGAGGUGGGAGUUGUUUUCCUGACAGAGCCACCCAUUUAAUGCCAAGGGUGACCUCCACAGCACUGACGGCUUCUGCCUGGGCUUGAAACACUAGUUUUGAUACAAAGACCCUUAUAGUUAAACGACACACCAUAAAAGAAGGUAAUUUAUAAGUGUAUAAUAAUACGAGAGAGGACUGUGGAUCACUAUAUGUCAACAGGAAAUUCAUGGAUAUCCUUCCCUGACAUACCAAUUUUGAGCCCAUGCCUCUGGAUGACUUCUCCCCUCCUAGUUUUUCCUCUGAACCUGGAUGUCCUUUAAAGGAAGCCAUAAUAAAGUUAAUUUUUAUCAUCAUCAAGGGCACAGCAGAUGAAAAAUGAGAAUACAAGUUGAAAUGAAUAUAAAUAUUAGAUGCCAAAAUAUAUCACUGUUCAGAAUGCAGUAGGGACUGAGCAUUGUGAAGCCCCGCAUAUAUUCUCCAGCUUGUGACAGUCAUUUCUGUUUCUUUCAGGAUGAUAAAUAACUCACAGAGUUCAACUACAUAAUCAGUUAACAUGUAUAGGGUACAAAUCUCAGUGAAACUGUAGGGUUUUUUUUGCUGUAUCAACCUUUCUGGAAACAUAUAAUCCACGGGAACUUUU